rnacentral:rRNA from 1 species
UGCGUAGGCGGUGCUCUAAGUCUGGUGUGAAAUCUCCCGGCUCAACUGGGAGGGUGCGCCGGAAACUGGAGUGCUCGAGUGUGGGAGAGGUAAGCGGAAUUCCUGGUGUAGCGGUGAAAUGCGUAGAUAUCAGGAGGAACACCUGUGGUGUAGACAGCUUACUGGACCACGACUGACGCUGAGGCACGAAAGCGUGGGUAGCAAACAGGAUUAGAUACCCUGGUAGUCCACGCCCUAAACGAUGCAUACUUGGUGUGAGCCAUUCAUUUGGUUCGUGCCGGAGCUAACGCGUUAAGUAUGCCGCCUGGGGAGUACGGUCGCAAGGCUGAA